AUCCAGAUGACGAGUCCCAAAUAAGACGAAGCGCACGUCCUGGAU
rfam:Schistosoma rodhaini strain Burundi genome assembly, scaffold: SROB_scaffold0007029